rnacentral:lncRNA from 1 species
AUAAAAGAACUGAGAGAAAGAAUCUUCCUUUCUUCAUGGCCUUCUAGGUCUUCAGUGUGCUCUGUUGAAUAUCACCUACUUGUCAAAACCUGCCACAACACAAGGAAUUAAAAGGAAUCAGUCUUGCAAUACAUGCAAAUUGGAAUGAGAUACAGAUUUCUAGAAGAGGUUACAGGCGUUGAGAUUACAGUAGAGGCUUCAGGAGCUAUCACAAGUCUUCAGAUGGAAUCAAGCACAGUUGGUGCUCUUCCCGUCAUGUUUUUCUUUGCACCUGUUUUUUCUGGGUAGACUGCCACCUUUGAGCCAACUUAUUAUUUAUUUUUAGUAGCAACCAUCUAAUUAAAAACAAAAAUCAAGGAAGAAAGUCUCUAAAGUUCCAGUUCUAAAAAUGUAUGUAUGAGGAUAUUAAAACUUCCUAGAUCUUAAUGUUCAAAACCAUUAGGAGCUUUGAAAGCUCAUGAGUCAGGAUUGUCUCCCACUCCAUGACACUGGCAUGAAAACCAGAACAGACUUCAGUUUUCUGCACUUAGCUUUAGCCUGUUGUUUUAGGGAUGUUUUUUAGCUUUUUGAUACGUUCAGGUCAUACUUCUUUACUUUAUAAUACCGAAUGAAACUGAUAGGCUACUGUGUCCUGGUAACGCAGAGUUUCCGAACUGGCAAUACCAAGUGCAUGCAUGCCUGUGUGUCAAAAGUGAAGAGCUCCCUGUGUAUCCUGGAACAACAAAUUAAGCUGAUGAAACCCGCUGAUGUUUGAUCGUGUCAAAAAUGGCAUCAGAUAUUGAAGUAAAUGAGAGAUGCUCUUUGCACUAAAUAUUUGAAUUCUCCUCCACUCUAAAGUAAUCCUCUUCUUCCACUGUUAUGUUUAGAUGACAUACUAUUGUAUGGAUUAUGAUAGGGACCAUAGGAAUGAGUUAAAAAAAAGCCUGACUUUUAUUUUGUGCUGUUUUAAAGGCCUUUUACAAUAUAAACCAAUGCUGCACCUAAAAUUCUGGGGGUAAAUAUAUUGUCCAGUGAAAACAGAAUAAUUUGCUUGCAAACUUUCAGUGACUAAUGUGAUAUGUGUAGCACUUCAUAAUACUUACACAUUCCACAGUCUUAGCUAUCUGCAGGUUAGACCUAAGGGAUACACUUCAGAAAAGUUACAUAAAUAACUCUGAACCUUCGGCUGAGAAAAUGUAUACUUUGAACAUGUUGAAACUAUCCAUAUUAAGUCAGUUUAGCACUUUGAUUAAAGAGUUUAAUCAAUCACCAUC